UACAGCAAUACAAAAAUGGGUCGAGUACUGCUGAGUGUGUUCCUGGUGACCUUGUGUUCCUGGGCAUGUGUUGGGGCCCCUCAGAUCGGCAAACCACGCGCAAGGCAAAUCCCUGUCGAAACCUUCGUCGACCCACGUCCAGAAGGCAACGAACUACUCUUGGAUGCGCAGAUCGGCCAACUCUUGCGCAGCGCACCUUCAGGGGCUAAACUGAUUCUCACUAAGCCCCAGUUGCCACCUAUUAUACAGAGGUUGGCUGAUAACGCUACUCUGAUUCGCCCUAAUAUUGUGGAUACUUUCCGUUGUGAAGGACGCAGCUACAGCUCACUACGCUGAUCAAGACAACGAGUGCCAGAUCUUCCACGUAUGUCUUCCUCUACAUCAGCUCUACCCCAACAAUUUCACCAGUGAAUAUACCUAUCAGUUCAGCUUCAUCUGUCCUGAGUACACUAUCUUCACCCAGGAUGCGAUGGUAUGUGCCUGGGCCAAUGAAGCGUUGCCUUGUGAAUACGCCCACGACCUCUACUGGAUGAACCUUAACUUCUUUAGAGAAGUCCCCGCUAAGGACGGCUUCGGUGUACGCUAUGCUGAAGUGAACGAACCACUCCCUCAGACCCCUAUCAUUUAGACCCCUCUCAGAUAUUAGCCCCCUCCCCCCAUUGAUCCUUACAUUUCAUCAGCCCCUAAUUGCUAAUCUGAGUCUUGACCAGAAUGAGCUUUAACAACCACCACAGGAGAGUAAAAGCCCCCCUUCCCCCUAGUCUCUUUCGUAGUGUGGUAGUUAGUCCCCCUUUUCCCAGUUAGGUAGCCCCCAUGAACCACUGCAGCCCCCUACUGUCGUGAGCCUGGUAGUCAGUCACUAGUAUAGCCCCAAAUAGCUCUUUUUCCCUAGUGGUCAGGUAGCCCUAAGUUGCCCUGCACAAAAACCCCACAAUAAUCCCUCGUAGUCUAAUAGCCCCUACUACUAGAUAGAAGAAAAAAUACUAGGAGUUUCUCAAGUAACUUGGUAAGUAAUUUCCAAGUAAGAGUAAAAAACAAGAUAUAAGUUUAUUAAGUAGUGACAUUUUAGGCUCGUAUUCUCUCCCGGGUUAAAUGAUAAUGUUUUAGGCUCGUGAUGUCUUUUGUUUACAAGUGAAAAAUAAUUAUCCUCAUAAUAUUUGUUUCAAGGCUUUCCAAUAUAUGUAAAUGAUUUUAUCUUAAUUUAAAAUCAUAUAUGGAAUAAUAUUUACAAUUUAGAAUGUUUUUAAUCACCCAUAAAUGAUAAAAAAUAGAAUAUUAAUCAAAUUCUGGCGAGCAAUCAUAGAAAACUGUGAUUAGUGACAAGGACUCGGGGGUAACUAUGUUAAAACGCUUAUGUUAUGGGCAUUGAAUUGAGACUUUACACUAAUUCCUCCGUUAUGACUAUAUAACAGGUGGUUGUUGUCAUGGCGAGGCAAGUUUGGGCAUUGGCAUUAUGACUUUUCUAAACAAUUAAUUUUUUGGCAUUAUUCUUUUUGCUUAGUAAUAAUAAUAAUCGAAGAAAAAUUUGCAUGUAUUAAAAAAUGAUUCUGAAAAUUUGCAUGUAAUCAGUUCUACGUUGUUGGACCUAUUCCUGUAUUCUGUAUGACCCUGUAACUGUAUGACCCUUUAACUGUAUGAGCUUGUAUACUGUAUGAGAUUAAUAACUAUAUACUGUAUGAAAUUAACUGUAUACUGUAUGAGACUGUAUUUCCACUGUAGAACUGUUAUGAGACUAUUUUUAUGUGCUCUGUAUACUAUGUAAUAAACUUGUACCAUUACUGUAACCUACUGUAAUGUGUAUGACUUUAUAAAGGUAUACUGUAUAAACCUGUAUCGCCACUGUAACGCUAAAUGCUGAAGGAGAAUAUGUUGUACCUUGUUGCUAACUGAGAUACUAACACACGUGUCAACCAAUACAAAAGAUGAAUACA
rnacentral:lncRNA from 1 species